GUCACAGUGCUCUGUCACAUACACUAAAUUGGAACGAUACAGAGAAGAUUAGCAUGGCCCCUGUGCAGGGAUGACAUGCAAAUUCGUGAAGCGUUCCAUAUUUUU
rnacentral:snRNA from 1 species